rnacentral:misc_RNA from 1 species
GAAUGUGUGCUAAAGCGGAGGUCUGCCCGCUGGACGAGCGGACCUCGUCGAAAUAUAUGUCAAGGUAAACUUCUUGUAGAAUGGCCAGACACGGAUAUGUGCCGGUCUGUAAGAGUCUAUAAAAGAAACCGCUUGCACCGUAUUCCAAUGACAAGUGCAGCACCUGCCACGGCCAGACUCAACUCACUCGGAGGAGAGAGUCGAGUCCCGUCAUGCACCUGCCAAAUUGCUUCGCUCCUAAGCUGCUAGGGCGCUGCGCAUGCGCAGUUCGGCAUCGCAAAAGGCGGAUCGAAACGUCGAAGUAACCUAGCGCCUCGGCAUCGCAGUUCAGCGAACUGUGAUGUGGUGUUGCCAUGUCUGCCUUUGCUUAACGGACAUCGAGGGAUGUGCUGCUAGCUACAAGUCAUGCAAAUGCGACUGCGUUGACCACCUACUGUCCAGUGCUGAGUGUGGUUGGUGUGCUGUGCUUGUAACGAGUGAUGCAGCCGUGCAGCUGGGGUGGUGGAGGAGCAGAGUAGCUUAGGGGCUCCAUUUGCGUGUUCACAGACAUGUGCUCCUGUUUGGUCUCAUUAGCGGCUGUCGCAGGAUUGCGGUGUGCUCCUUGCCUAGUAUGAAGUUUACGAUACUAACACACAGCUUGUGCUAGAUGUCUGUGCUUGAUGUCAUUUGCAUGAUGACCGAGUUGAAAACGAGGCAUAUGUCUGUGUUCUUUGCGUUUGUGUGUUGGAAAUUUUCUCUAUUGUGGAAGUUCUGGCAGUCCUAUUUUGAAGAGAGUACAAACGUACAUAUAUAAACACAUUUGGGCAUGGCACAUGAGUGGGCACGGCAGACCGAGUUUCGGCAUGAUGUCUAAGCCUUUCUUCUGUAUCGCGCAGGCUUUUCUGCUGAGCUUAGCCGGAGCGCCAACACAGCUUCAUCAUUUGUCUGGCCAUUUCAAGAUACCGCCGGAUGAAUCUUGCUCGUGGACAGCGGGAACAGCGACGGAGUACCUCGUUUUCGAGGACAUCAUCUGCGACGCAUCCUCAGCGCCACCUUGGGACCAAGUGACGUCAUCAUACCUGACUAUAAAAGAACAGCUGCAGCUCUGCGAGUUCAGUGGACAUGGCAGACCGAGCUGCGGCAUGAUGUCUAAGCCUUUCUUCUGUAUCGCGCAGGCUUUUCUGCUGAGUUUAGCCGGAGUGUCAACGCCGCUUCGUCAUUUGUCUGGCCAUUUCAAGAUACCGCUGGAUGAAUCUUGCUCGUUGACAGCGGGAACAGCGACGGAGUACCUCGUUUUCGAGGACAUCAUCUGCGACGCAUCCUCAGCGCCACCUUGGGACCAAGUGACGUCAUCAUACCUGACUAUAAAAGAACAGCUGCAGCUCUGCGAGUUCAGUGAGCAUGGCAGACCGAGCUUCGGCAUGAUGCCUAAGCCCUUCUGUAUCGCGCAGGCUUUUCUGCUGAGCUUAGCCGGAGCGUCAACACCGCUUCAUCAUUUGUCUGGCCAUUUCAAGAUACCGCCGGAUGAAUCUUGCUCGUGGACAGCGGGAACAGCGACGGAGUACCUCGUUUUCGAGGACAUCAUCUGCGACGCAUCCUCAGCGCCACCUUGGGACCAAGUGACGUCAUCAUACCUGACUAUAAAAGAACAGCUGCAGCUCUGCGAGUUCAGUGAGCAUGGCAGACCGAGCUUCGGCAUGAUGCCUAAGCCCUUCUGUAUCGCGCAGGCUUUUCUGCUGAGCUUAGCCGGAGCGUCAACACCGCUUCAUCAUUUGUCUGGCCAUUUCAAGAUACCGCCGGAUGAAUCUUGCUCGUGGACAGCGGGAACAGCGACGGAGUACCUCGUUUUCGAGGACAUCAUCUGCGACGCAUCCUCAGCGCCACCUUGGGACCAAGUGACGUCAUCAUACCUGACUAUAAAAGAACAGCUGCAGCUCUGCGAGUUCAGUGGACAUGGCAGACCGAGCUGCGGCAUGAUGUCUAAGCCUUUCUUCUGUAUCGCGCAGGCUUUUCUGCUGAGUUUAGCCGGAGUGUCAACGCCGCUUCGUCAUUUGUCUGGCCAUUUCAAGAUACCGCUGGAUGAAUCUUGCUCGUUGACAGCGGGAACAGCGACGGAGUACCUCGUUUUCGAGGACAUCAUCUGCGACGCAUCCUCAGCGCCACCUUGGGACCAAGUGACGUCAUCAUACCUGACUAUAAAAGAACAGCUGCAGCUCUGCGAGUUCAGUGAGCAUGGCAGACCGAGCUUCGGCAUGAUGCCUAAGCCCUUCUGUAUCGCGCAGGCUUUUCUGCUGAGCUUAGCCGGAGCGUCAACACCGCUUCAUCAUUUGUCUGGCCAUUUCAAGAUACCGCCGGAUGAAUCUUGCUCGUGGACAGCGGGAACAGCGACGGAGUACCUCGUUUUCGAGGACAUCAUCUGCGACGCAUCCUCAGCGCCACCUUGGGACCAAGUGACGUCAUCAUACCUGACUAUAAAAGAACAGCUGCAGCUCUGCGAGUUCAGUGAGCAUGGCAGACCGAGCUUCGGCAUGAUGCCUAAGCCCUUCUGUAUCGCGCAGGCUUUUCUGCUGAGCUUAGCCGGAGCGUCAACACCGCUUCAUCAUUUGUCUGGCCAUUUCAAGAUACCGCCGGAUGAAUCUUGCUCGUGGACAGCGGGAACAGCGACGGAGUACCUCGUUUUCGAGGACAUCAUCUGCGACGCAUCCUCAGCGCCACCUUGGGACCAAGUGACUGACGUCAUCAUACCUGACUAUAAAAGAACAGCUGCAGCUCUGCGAGUUCAGUGAGCAUGGCAGACCGAGCUUCGGCAUGAUGCCUAAGCCCUUCUGUAUCGCGCAGGCUUUUCUGCUGAGCUUAGCCGGAGCGUCAACACCGCUUCAUCAUUUGUCUGGCCAUUUCAAGAUACCGCCGGAUGAAUCUUGCUCGUGGACAGCGGGAACAGCGACGGAGUACCUCGUUUUCGAGGACAUCAUCUGCGACGCAUCCUCAGCGCCACCUUGGGACCAAGUGACUGACGUCAUCAUACCUGACUAUAAAAGAACAGCUGCAGCUCUGCGAGUUCAGUGAGCAUGGCAGACCGAGCUUCGGAAUGAUGUCUAAGCCUUUCUUCUGUAUCGCGCAGGUUAGCUAAUAUUUUACUACGCUUAGAAGUGAUUGCCGCAGUAUAUUGGUCGUGCCAUGCCCACAACAGUGCAUUAUCAUGGCGUACAAUGUGUAUUGUGUGUGCCAGCUUCUUCUUUGCGGGGUCGUAGAAUUGAACCCUGGCCCACAGACAGCAGAACUUCUGAAAGAACUUUUGGAAGGGUAACACAAACGUACCGCUGAAGUGGCGACACUUAGGACUCGGCAAAGCAUGAUGGAAAAGUUAAUGUCAGAUAUGGCGUUACGUUUCAACGAAAUCAUCAAACAAGGUGUUUGCGUUGCAUCCCUUGAACAAUCAGUGAAUCUUCUGCAUAAAAUAAUCAUCGACCUAGAGGACUGGAGCAGGCGGUCAAAUUUUAUUGUUUUCGGGGUACAAGAAGGCAGUGACGA